rnacentral:rRNA from 1 species
CCUACGGGGGGCAGCAGUGAGGAAUAUUGGUCAAUGGGCGCGAGCCUGAACCAGCCACGUAGCGUGAAGGAUGACUGCCCUACGGGUUGUAAACUUCGUUUAUAAAGGAAUAAAGUGAGGCACGUGUGCCUUUUUGUAUGUACUUUAUGCAUAAGGAUCGGCUAACUCCGUGCCAGCAGCCGCGGUAAUACGGAGGUUCCGAGCGUUAUCCGGAUUUAUUGGGUUUAAAGGGAGCGUAGAUGGGUUGUUAAGUCAGUUGUGAAAGUUUGCGGCUCAACCGUAAAAUUGCAAUUGAUACUGGCAGCCUUGAGUACAGUAGAGGUAGGCGGAAUUCGUGGUGUAGCGGUGAAAUGCUUAGAUAUCACGAAGAACUCCGAUGGCGAAGGCAGCUUACUAAACUGCCACUGACAUUGAGGCUCGAAAGUGUGGGGAGCAAACAGGAUUAGAUACCCUGGUAGUC